rnacentral:rRNA from 1 species
UACAGAGACUGCAAGCGUUAUUCGGAUUCACUGGGCGUAAAGGGUGCGCAGGCGGUCGGGUGUGUCAGAUGUGAAAUCCCGAGGCUCAACCUCGGAACUGCGUCUGAAACUACUCGACUAGAGUACUGGAGAGGGUAACGGAAUUCACGGUGUAGCAGUGAAAUGCGUAGAUAUCGUGAGGAACACCAGAGGCGAAGGCGGUUACCUGGACAGUUACUGACGCUGAGGUGCGAAAGCGUGGGGAGCGAACAGG